rnacentral:rRNA from 1 species
AUUGAACGCUGGCGGCAUGCUUUACACAUGCAAGUCGAACGGCAGCACGGGGGCAACCCUGGUGGCGAGUGGCGAACGGGUGAGUAAUGCUUCGGAACGUACCCGGGAGUGGGGGAUAACGUAGCGAAAGUUACGCUAAUACCGCAUAUUCUGUGAGCAGGAAAGUGGGGGGCCGUAAGGCCUCACGCUUCUGGAGCGGCCGAUGUCGGAUUAGCUAGUUGGUGGGGUAAAGGCUUACCAAGGCGACGAUCCGUAGCGGGUCUGAGAGGAUGAUCCGCCACACUGGGACUGAGACACGGCCCAGACUCCUACGGGAGGCAGCAGUGGGGAAUUUUGGACAAUGGGCGCAAGCCUGAUCCAGCCAUGCCGCGUGAGUGAAGAAGGCCUUCGGGUUGUAAAGCUCUUUUGUUGGGGAAGAAAUGCUCUGGGUUAAUACCCUGGGGUGAUGACGGUACCCAAAGAAUAAGCACCGGCUAACUACGUGCCAGCAGCCGCCGUAA